rnacentral:rRNA from 1 species
AAUAAUAUCCAAGUUUGGAACUCAAAGAUUUCACUGCAAAUCAAGAUUUUUAAAUGGUAUCUACGGAGGGGAGUUGUGCUAACAAAAGACAACUUUGCCCAUAAUUGGCAAGGAAGUAACAAGUGUAGUUUUUGUACUCGCGAUGAAACAAUCAAACACCUCUUUUUUGGUGCAAAUUUUGUACCCUUUACGUGGUCAACCAUCCAAAUAGCAUCCAAUUUGUAUCCACCCACAAGUAUUGGCAAUAUUUAUAGUCACUGGUUGGAUGGAAUCUCAAAUAGGUUUACGUCGCUAAUAAGGGUGGGAGUGCAUGCCUUAUUAUGGCCGUUUUAG